CGUACCGCUGGGUGUGCAGUCGGGCUACUGGCCCAGAGAGGGUCUGCGAAUCGUUCCAAGCCACACAGCGAGGCAGGGGAAGGGUUCUCCUGGGUAGGACCUGCAGCACUGGGGAAACGUCAUUCCAGCUCAGAUCUCUGCGGGGAAACCGCCGAACAGCAGCUCCGAACUGUCUCUCGCUAUGGACUUGUGGACCCUCAGACUGUGUGACCACUUCUCGCCUUUAUCAAGGCGACACAUACAGCUGUGCUAGAUACUCCAGACAAGCUCUCAAGUGUGCUCUCCUGUUCUGUGUCUCUUGCCCAAAGUCCCCGGGCCCCUGGUUGAUCUUGCUGCUGUUUCUCAUCUGCUGUGUAUCCAGGGAGGCACUGGACAGCUGAAGGUGAUCAGAGCUGUCAGGCUGAAAUUAUUAGCAACUAGCUCUUGGUCAGCUAAGAAACAUGCCCGGAGGCUGCAGAUGCAGUCAAGAGGAGCCAAGCCAGACCUUCAAACGCUUUGCUUAGAAAUUUCAGCUAAACAUCCAGUGUCGUCACUUGCAAGAUGGGCCUUCCACAGAACUCUGAAACAGGAACAUCGUUCAGCCAAGUUCUUUGCCACUUUACACUAAGGAUCACCUUUCCUCCAAUUUCCAAUGUUCUUUAGUUCCUUCUGAGACCUCAUCAGAACGGCCUUUACCAUCUGUAUUUCUACCAACAUUCUAUUCACCACCACUUACGUAUUCUCUAAGAUAUAGCUCUCCUCCUCUUCUGAGCCUUCACUCAAAUCACCUCUGAAGGUCCCUUCAAGGCCAUGUAGGCUUUUUCUAGCAUGCAUCUCAAAACUCUUCUGGCCUCUACCCAUUAUGUGGUUCCAAAGCCACUUUCACAUUUUUCGGUUUAUUACAGCAGUACCUACUUCUUGGUACCAAUUUCUGUCUUAGUCCACUUGGGCUUCUGUAACAAAAAAUACUAUAAGAUGUGUGACUUAAACAACAAACAUUUUUUUCUCACAGUUCUGGAGGCUGGGAAGUCCAAGAUCACAGUGCCAGCAGAUUUGGUGUCUGGUGAGAACCCGCUUCCUGCUUCACAGACUGUCAUCUUCACACUGUGUCUUCACAUGGUGGAAGGAGGGCACGAGAACUCUCUGGGGUAUCUUUUAUAAGGGCACUAGUACCAUUCACGAGGGUUCCAUCCUCAUGACCUUAUCACCUCCCAAAGGCCCCACCUCCUAAUACUAUCACAUUGGGGUUUAGGAUUUCAAUGUAUGAAUUUUGAGGGGACACAAACGUCCAGUUCAUAGCAGCCUCCUCACAGGCACUUGGUAUUGCCAGUGUUUGUAAUUUUAGUUAUUCUAGUAGGUGUGUGGUGUUAUAUUGUGAUUUUAAUUUCCAUCUGGUAUCAUUUUCCUAUUGCCAGAAUAACUUUCUUGUGUGUAUCUGCUGAUGAAGAAUUCUCAUGGCUUU